CGGCGAUGUCCGAAUGGGGAAACCCAGUGCAAUUCGUUGCACUAUCGUUAACUGAAUACAUAGGUUAACGAGGCGAACCGGGGGAACUGAAACAUCUAAGUACCCCGAGGAAAAGAAAUCAACCGAGAUUCCCCCAGUAGCGGCGAGCGAACGGGGAGCAGCCCAGAGUCUGAAUCAGCUUGUGUGUUAGUGGAACGGUCUGGAAAGUCCGACGGUACAGGGUGAUAGUCCCGUACACCAAAAUGCACAGGUUGUGAACUCGAAGAGUAGGGCGGGACACGUGGUAUCCUGUCUGAAUAUGGGGGGACCAUCCUCCAAGGCUAAAUACUCCUGACUGACCGAUAGUGAACCAGUACCGUGAGGGAAAGGCGAAAAGAACCCCGGCGAGGGGAGUGAAAAAGAACCUGAAACCGUGUACGUACAAGCAGUGGGAGCACCUUCGGGUGUGACUGCGUACCUUUUGUAUAAUGGGUCAGCGACUUAUAUUCUGUAGCAAGGUUAACCGUAUAGGGGAGCCGCAGGGAAACCGAGUCUUAACUGGGCGUUAAGUUGCAGGGUAUAGACCCGAAACCCGGUGAUCUAGCCAUGGGCAGGUUGAAGGUUGGGUAACACUAACUGGAGGACCGAACCGACUAAUGUUGAAAAAUUAGCGGAUGACUUGUGGCUGGGGGUGAAAGGCCAAUCAAACCGGGAGAUAGCUGGUUCUCCCCGAAAGCUAUUUAGGUAGCGCCUCGUGAACUCAUCUUCGGGGGUAGAGCACUGUUUCGGCUAGGGGGUCAUCCCGACUUACCAACCCGAUGCAAACUACGAAUACCGAAGAAUGUUAUCACGGGAGACACACGGCGGGUGCUAACGUCCGUCGUGAAGAGGGAAACAACCCAGACCGCCAGCUAAGGUCCCAAAGUCAUGGUUAAGUGGGAAACGAUGUGGGAAGGCACAGACAGCCAGGAUGUUGGCUUAGAAGCAGCCAUCAUUUAAAGAAAGCGUAAUAGCUCACUGGUCGAGUCGGCCUGCGCGGAAGAUGUAACGGGGCUAAACCAUGCACCGAAGCUGCGGCAGCGACACUAUGUGUUGUUGGGUAGGGGAGCGUUCUGUAAGCCUGCGAAGGUGACCUGUGAGGGUUGCUGGAGGUAUCAGAAGUGCGAAUGCUGACAUAAGUAACGAUAAAGCGGGUGAAAAGCCCGCUCGCCGGAAGACCAAGGGUUCCUGUCCAACGUUAAUCGGGGCAGGGUGAGUCGACCCCUAAGGCGAGGCCGAAAGGCGUAGUCGAUGGGAAACAGGUUAAUAUUCCUGUACUUGGUGUUACUGCGAAGGGGGGACGGAGAAGGCUAUGUUAGCCGGGCGACGGUUGUCCCGGUUUAAGCAUGUAGGCUGGUUGUCCAGGCAAAUCCGGAUAAUCAAGGCUGAGGUGUGAUGACGAGGCACUACGGUGCUGAAGUAACAAAUGCCCUGCUUCCAGGAAAAGCCUCUAAGCAUCAGGUAACAUCAAAUCGUACCCCAAACCGACACAGGUGGUCAGGUAGAGAAUACCAAGGCGCUUGAGAGAACUCGGGUGAAGGAACUAGGCAAAAUGGUGCCGUAACUUCGGGAGAAGGCACGCUGGUGUGUAGGUGAAGUCCCUGCGGAUGGAGCUGAGACCAGUCGAAGAUACCAGCUGGCUGCAACUGUUUAUUAAAAACACAGCACUGUGCAAACACGAAAGUGGACGUAUACGGUGUGACGCCUGCCCGGUGCCGGAAGGUUAAUUGAUGGGGUUAUCCGUAAGGAGAAGCUCUUGAUCGAAGCCCCGGUAAACGGCGGCCGUAACUAUAACGGUCCUAAGGUAGCGAAAUUCCUUGUCGGGUAAGUUCCGACCUGCACGAAUGGCGUAAUGAUGGCCAGGCUGUCUCCACCCGAGACUCAGUGAAAUUGAACUCGCUGUGAAGAUGCAGUGUACCCGCGGCAAGACGGAAAGACCCCGUGAACCUUUACUAUAGCUUGACACUGAACAUUGAGCCUUGAUGUGUAGGAUAGGUGGGAGGCUUUGAAGCGUGGACGCCAGUCUGCGUGGAGCCAACCUUGAAAUACCACCCUUUAAUGUUUGAUGUUCUAACGUUGGCCCCUGACCGGGGUUGCGGACAGUGUCUGGUGGGUAGUUUGACUGGGGCGGUCUCCUCCCAAAGCGUAACGGAGGAGCACGAAGGUUAGCUAAUCCUGGUCGGACAUCAGGAGGUUAGUGCAAUGGCAUAAGCUAGCUUGACUGCGAGCGUGACGGCGCGAGCAGGUGCGAAAGCAGGUCAUAGUGAUCCGGUGGUUCUGAAUGGAAGGGCCAUCGCUCAACGGAUAAAAGGUACUCCGGGGAUAACAGGCUGAUACCGCCCAAGAGUUCAUAUCGACGGCGGUGUUUGGCACCUCGAUGUCGGCUCAUCACAUCCUGGGGCUGAAGUAGGUCCCAAGGGUAUGGCUGUUCGCCAUUUAAAGUGGUACGCGAGCUGGGUUUAGAACGUCGUGAGACAGUUCGGUCCCUAUCUGCCGUGGGCGCUGGAGAAUUGAGGGGGGCUGCUCCUAGUACGAGAGGACCGGAGUGGACGCAUCACUGGUGUUCGGGUUGUCAUGCCAAUGGCACUGCCCGGUAGCUAAAUGCGGAAGAGAUAAGUGCUGAAAGCAUCUAAGCACGAAACUUGCCCCGAGAUGAGUUCUCCCUGAGACUUUAAGUCUCCUGAAGGAACGUUGAAGACGACGACGUUGAUAGGCCGGGUGUGUAAGCGCAGCGAUGCGUUGAGCUAACCGGUACUAAUGAACCGUGAGGCUUAACCUU
rnacentral:rRNA from 1 species